rnacentral:rRNA from 1 species
UACAGAGGUCCCGAGCGUUGUUCGGAUUCACUGGGCGUAAAGGGUGCGUAGGUGGCGAGGUAAGUCGGAUGUGAAAGCUCGGAGCUCAACUCCGAAAUGGCAUUGGAAACUACCUUGCUCGAGGGUUGGAGGGGGGACUGGAAUACUUGGUGUAGCAGUGAAAUGCGCAGAUAUCAGGAGGAACACCGGUGGCGAAGGCGGGUCUCUGGGCCGAUACUGACGCUGAGGAGCGAAAGCGUGGGGAGCGAACAGG